UUUACCAAGUUUCUAGCUUACUCCACCUGCAAUUCCAUUACUUGAAUUUCAACCUUUAACCUGAAGCUUCAAUAGACUAUAUAACACAUAGAUGCAUCCUCCUAAGGCGUCUCCUAGUAACCAGAAUCUAACUGAACUUUGUGAAAUUUUCACCCAACAUCAAUCUUAAAACGAUUUCUUUUAACACAUAUACAACUAAUUAUUUCUUUUUUUUUUUUUUUUCAACUAAAUUAUUUUUUUCGUUUAUUUGUGUAGAUUUAUGGGAUUAGACGACAGGCCUGAUGUAAAAGAUUCCGUUUCUCCGGGGAUCUUUUACAUCAUCAUCCUCGUCAUAGUUGGCAUCAUCAUCCUCGUCGCCGACCUCUGGUAUUUAUGGAAUAGAAUCUCGUCUUUAUACAAAAGGAUUUACAAUGACGAUAGGCAACCGGCCGAAGUCGAGAUGAGUUGAGGUAAAAAUCAUCUUCUUAGGCUGCUAUUUGGUUUGCAACCAGAUUCUGGUGUGACUCUAUUGAUAAAUGAAGACUCUCGUUUUUGGAAUGACAACAAAGACUCGGAGGCUACCAAAACAGAGGAAAUUAGUUUUAUUUUUAUUUUGAGGCUGACACUUUGUUAU